GACGAACGCUGGCGGCGUGCUUAACACAUGCAAGUCGAACGGAAAGGCCUCUUUCGGGGGGUACUCGAGUGGCGAACGGGUGAGUAACACGUGAGUAACCUGCCCUUGACUUUGGGAUAACUUCAGGAAACUGGGGCUAAUACCGGAUAGGAGCUCCUGCUGCCUGGUGGGGGUUGGAAAGUUUCGGCGGUUGGGGAUGGACUGGCGGCUUAUCAGCUUGUUGGUGGGGUAGUGGCUUACCAAGGCUUUGACGGGUAGCCGGCCUGAGAGGGUGACCGGCCACAUUGGGACUGAGAUACGGCCCAGACUCCUACGGGAGGCAGCAGUGGGGAAUAUUGCACAAUGGGUGGAAGCCUGAUGCAGCAACGCCGUGUGCGGGAUGACGGCCUUCGGGUUGUAAACCGCUUUCGCUCAUGACGAAGCUUUGUGUGACGGUAGUGGGUAAAGAAGCACCGGCUAACUACGUG
rnacentral:rRNA from 1 species